ACGUAGGGACCAAGCGUUGUUCGGAUUUACUGGGCGUAAAGGGCGCGUAGGCGGCAAUUCAAGUCAGCUGUGAAAUCUCCGGGCUUAACUCGGAACGGUCAGCUGAUACUGCUUUGCUAGAGUGCAGAAGGGGCAAUCGGAAUCCUCGGUGUAGCGGUGAAAUGCGUAGAUAUCUGGAGGAACACCGGUGGCGAAGGCGGCAUCCUGGACCGGUAUUGACGCUGAGGCGCGAAAGCCAGGGGAGCAAACGGGA
rnacentral:rRNA from 1 species